GAUCAAGUGAUCAUCAUUAUGCAGGAUAAACUAGAAAUAAUGUUUGUUCCACAGGUCAUUUAAUUACAAGAAAUGUUUAAGAUUAAUCAUCAUAUUCAUGAUUCAGACCAUAUGUACUUACCAUAACAUUUUUUUAUCCACCUUCUAUAUUUACAUUUAUGACAGGUUUAUGCAGAAGUUGUGUAGAAAGACACAAGAAAACAUACCUUACAGUUGUAGAUGUACAAAAUGAUAUUGUGGAGUUCCAUAAAGUUGCAAUGAAUUUUCAUGAACAGAAUAUUAAUAGAAGUGAACAGAUGGUACCUUGCAGUCCAUGUUUUUCACCAGCCACAUAUCCAUCAGAAGAUUACGUUGAUGAAAUGAAUCCUGAUGCUGCUGACAUUAAUUCAAGUCUGCAGAAUUAUAGUU